rnacentral:rRNA from 1 species
GUCUACGGCAAAUAUAUAUGUCACCCUGAACAAGCCAGAUCCCAUCUGAUCUCGGAAGCUAAGCAGAGUCGGGCCUAGUUAGUACUUGGAUGGGAGACCACCUAAGAAGACCAGGUGCUGUAGGGG